AGUGGCUGUGCGAUCUUGUUUCUGUGUCUGACAAUUUUGAUCGCCCCCUCUAUUAAAAUGCAUCGUUGCCGGGAGAUUUGAGGCAGCGUUGGAACACACCCACACACCCACACACACACACCAUACAAUCAUCGCCGAUGCUGGAAUAUGGGAGGAGUUUCUACGGAGGAGCCAGGCUCUUCGCGGUCGCCAGAGCAGCAAUCUGUGUUUGGAGCUCCUCCAGCCUGAAGAAAAUCGGGGCCGAGGGGGGAGAAGAGUGGUCAUUUUGGGGGAGAACCUAUCCUCCAGGUGUUUGACGAAGGCGUCCGCCUUUUCUUUAGAGGAACGGGUCCAUAUGUGGUCGGAGGAAGCUGGCGAGUGCCCAGAGGACCUGGACUGUACAGGGAUCUUGAAAGGAUGGUCAGAUUGGGGUUGACUUUUGAUGUGACUGGUAAUUUUCCAAAUCUUGGCCAUGUUGUAUCUAUCUUCA